rnacentral:rRNA from 1 species
UACGGAGGGUGCGAGCGUUGUUCGGAAUCACUGGGCGUAAAGCGCGUGUAGGCGGCCCAUUAAGUCUGAUGUGAAAGCCCGGGGCUCACCCCCGGAAGUGCAUUGGAAACUGAUGGGCUGGAGUCCCGGAGAGGAGGGUGGAAUUCCUGGUGUAGCGGUGAAAUGCGUAGAUAUCAGGAGGAACACCGGUGGCGAAGGCGGUUCUCUGGGCAUUACCUGACGCUGAGGAGCGAAAGUGUGGGGAGCGAACAGG